rnacentral:tRNA from 1 species
GCGAUCGUAGUCUAGCCUGGUAGGACGCGGCCUUGCCAAGGCUGCAACCCGGGUUCAAAUCCCGGCGGUCGCA